GUUGAACGCUGGCGGCAUGCCUAACACAUGCAAGUCGAGCGGAUGAAGUGAGCUUGCUCCUUGAUUCAGCGGCGGACGGUUGAGUAAGGCCUAGGAAGCUGCCUGGUAGUGGGGGAUAACGUCCGGAAAGGGGCGCUAAUACCGCAUACGUCCUGAGGGAGAAAGUGGGGGUUCUUCGGACCUCACGCGAUCAGAUGAGCCUAGGUCGGAUUAUCUAGUUGGUGGGGUAAAGGCCUACCAAGGCGACGAUCCGUAACUGGUCUGAGAGGAUGAUCAGUCAACCUGGAACUGAGAAACGGUCCAGACUCCUACGGGAGGAAGCAGUGGGGAAUAUUGGACAAUGGGCGAAAGCCUGACCCAGCCAUGCCGCGUGUGUGAAGAAGGUCUUCGGAUUGUAAAGCACUUUAAGUUGGGAGGAAGGGCAGUAAGUUAAUAACUUGAUGUUUUGACGUUACCAAAAGAAUAAGCCACGGCUAACUUCGUG
rnacentral:rRNA from 1 species